GCUACGCAAGGGUACAGACACGUAAGCGAAAAGAGAAGGCCUCCAGUAAUGAUUAUGAACUUCUAUGCAAACAAGGGCGGCCUUAUGAUAACUAUGUAGGGGUUAUUACCUAGCCUCCACUUAGCGAUUAACCGCAAAACGCUUUCCCCCGAUCCUCACGGCUUUCCCCCUUCCAUCUUUGUUGCAUGGACGCCAGAUUGAGGAGGAAAAACGAAGAGUCUUAUUGGUGCUGCGCAAUAAACUCUUCGAAAACACUCACGUCCUUGCACACAGUGUGAGGAACACCCCAUCCAUCUAUUUCCCUUCGCUCCCCGUUCGUUUCCACUCGACUCCAUUCAACUGUGGGGUCGGCAGAACAUCGAAUUGCCUGCCUCAGAUAAUCAAAGCAAUGAUCAGUGUGGAGGUGGUUUCGCAGUUCCAUGUCCCAAGGAUCCUCAUCCCGUCGAUGUUGAUGGUUGUCUGUUUGAUUGAAAUAGACCAUUCGAAUGCUUGCCUAUGAGCUGGGGAUCAGUAACGCAAAAAUUAUUAUUAUUAGUAUUAUUAUUAUUUUGAUUUUUUCAUCUACGCACAUGUACUGGGCAUGUACUGUACAAUUAUUUUCAUGGGAUUGAGCCAAAACAUACCAGGCAAUGGAGCUGGUGGUACAUGCUGAUACCAAACCGCUCACCACCCCUUCUUGCGGGAACCCCUUUCUCGAGGCCGUAAUCCCGCGGAUUAUCUAGGACAAAUGAAUGCGUGAAGCCAUUAAGAUGCUCCUUUUCCCAAAGUUUGUGGGUUUCUGGGUCCGAACCAGACCAUCGAGGAUCCGGGUUGAAAACAACGGGCUCUUUCAGCAACGGUACUACAAAAAAAGGAGAACUUUCUCUCAGCAAGGCAACUCCCACGAAAAGCAAAAAGACCCUAAACAUGUCCCUCCAAAUGGCGUGGGAGAGGGUGAUACCUACAUGUUGGAAUAAGGGUUUUCCCCAUGUUACCAUUCCCCAGGUGGUAGCGGCUCGAUCCGAUCAGGUAUGCCCCCCAAAGUGAAAUAAUAGCAAAGAGAGUUGUCGAAAAGAGAGCACAGCCUGAAAGACCAUGAGGGAAAUAUCUCUUCUUCGGCUUCGUGGGAAAAGUGUCCAUCUUAAACAUCUUGAACGACCUGGGCGCGUGGUAAUUUUCAGCGCAAAUGGAUUAUUCAAAAAGGAUGAUUGUUAAAGUUCAAACAUGAAGGGUUAUAAACUUCUCUUUAGAUAC
rnacentral:sRNA from 1 species